rnacentral:rRNA from 1 species
CCCCUAGAUGUUCUGGGCCGCACGCGCGCUACACUGAACAGUUCAACAAGUCUUAACCUUGGCCGAUAGGUCUGGGUAAUCUUUGAACGCUGUUCGUGAUUGGGAUAGACCUUUGCAAUUAUGGGUCUUCAACGAGGAAUUCCUAGUAAACGCAAGUCAUCAGCUUGCAUUGAUUACGUCCCUGCCCUUUGUACACACCGCCCGUCGCACCUACCGAUUGAAUGGUCCGGUGAAAUCUCGGGACGGCGGCUUGGUCGCUUGCGUCCGACUGCUGAAACUUGAUUAAACCAUAUCAUUUAGGGGAAGGUGAAGUCGUAACA